rfam:[Clostridium] neopropionicum strain DSM-3847 CLNEO_contig000008, whole genome shotgun sequence.
AUAGAGUGUUGAUGCAGAAGGUUGCCAAAAGCCUGAAAAAACAAGGUUUGCGGGUGUUUCUGCGGAGCGAUGUCCAGUUCAAGAAACCGGGCGACAA